rnacentral:lncRNA from 1 species
CUGCUAGGGAAGGCAUCGAGCUUGAGGAAGAGGCCUCAUUCAUCUCCGUACCCCAGGCCCUAGUACACAGCAGGCAGCUCCAGGUGGGCACGCAUCUUUGUUGUGUUCUCUGCUGACUGUAUCCUCAGCACCUAGAACUGUCUGUCACCUAAUAGAUGCUCACAAGAAUGCGGUGUGUCAGGAGAAGCAAAUCCCAAAUGAGAUAAACCUGCCAGUAAUUUCAGCAAAUGAAACGUGGAACACGUCAAGGCCAGAGGAUGGAAAAGGCUCCAGUUUUGAUAAAAGGAGGCCUGCUUGGCUUGGAAUCCUCUCUCCUGCUGGUUGGGAGAUGCAAAGAUGUUUCCAGAGAGGGGCUGAUGAAUUGAGGGGAAAGAAAUGAGCCCAGUAUGAGUCCCCUUUCAGGGCUGAGUGUGUAUAAAACCAAACAACUUGGAACCGCUCCAAGAGAGGGGAUUAAAGCAACAUGUUAUUC